rnacentral:rRNA from 1 species
UACGUAGGCAGCGAGCGUUGUUCGGAAUUACUGGGCGUAAAGAGUGUGUAGGCGGUGCUCUAAGUUCGGUGUGAAAUCUCCUGCUUAACUGGGAGGGUGCGCCGGAAACUGGAGUGCUUGAGCGUGGGAGAGGAAAGCGGAAUUCCUGGUGUAGCGGUGGAAAUGCGUAGAUAUCAGGAGGAACACCGGGUGGCGAAGGCGGAUCUCUGGGCCAGUUACUGACGCUGAGGAGCGAAAGCGUGGGGAGCGAACAGG